GAAAGCACAAACAGAGGAAAUGGCAGGCAGAGGGAGAGGAAGAAGCAGGCUCCCGUUGAACACAGAGCCCGAUAGUGCGACUCGGUCCCAUGACCCGAGCUGAAGGCAGAGGCUUAACCCUCUGAGCCACCCAGGCACCCCUAUUGUGCUUAUUUAUUCAACAUGUCUAAACCUGAAGUGAUACCCCAAAUACUUCCCCUCCAUCAGAAUCUUCAAUUAAAGGAAUUCCUUUGCAGCCAUUCAAGUCCUGGGUAUUACCAUUGAUACCUCCUUCUUACUUGGUCCCCAAGUCCAAUCUGUUAACAAGUCUAAAAAGUUCUACUUAUUAAAUAUUUCUUGAACUCCAUGGACAAGAAAAAGAUUGGAGAAGUCCAGUCUUCCCAAGCAAAGAUUACAGCACAAUGGAGCAAAAGAAAAAUAUGAGUUUGGAUGCCUUAAAGAGACUAAGAAAAACUCUGCCAGUGCCACCCCUCUCACAAAGGCUACACAGGAUAGGACUGAACCACUAGUCAGUGGUAACUUCUCCACAAGGGAGAAAGAUAGAAGAGUAAGUGCCUGGCUGUGUUGGACAUUGGAGAAACCCAUUUCUCUCCAGCAGCACUCGUAGUACUGAAGCAGGACCUCUGUGACUGGGGGGAAAGGAGGAGAUAUGG